GCCUUGCUGGGAGGCACAGGCAGCGUCCACCCCGAUGAUGUCCUCCCGCCGGCAUCCCGCAGCCUUCGCCUUCCUGGUUCACCUGUCGCUUACCUGUCUCGCUCUCUCACCUCUGCUGGUCAGCAGAUCUGAAUAUCUCUUUGUGAGGAGUCAGAGAAAGGAGAUGAUGCAAAGAGAAGGAAGCAAAAACAAAACUAAAAGAACUUUGAAGGUAUAUGAGAAGAAAAAGCUGAAAAGAAAAUGUCUGCCUCACUCCCUCAAAAAUUCUACCAUAGAGCAAAGGUUGACGUCCAGAAAACCUCAAGUUUAUCAGUCCCAGAUGCUGGCAGUAGAAGCAUAAAGCUGAGCUAACAUUACUGGCCAGGUCCGCAGCAGCAGAGUUCUGUGGGCUCCCAGCCUCCGCCCUCCUCGCCCUCCUCCGCGCCGGCAGAAGGAAGAAAUGAUGUAAAUCACUCAUCCAAACCUUAAGGUCAAAGGUGAGAAGGAAGGUCAGGAAGAACAUGGCCUGGCCAAAUGUUUUUCAAAGAGGGUCUCUGCUGUCCCA
rnacentral:lncRNA from 1 species